rnacentral:piRNA from 1 species
CUGAGCAAGUGCCUUCACGUUUUGCCUUGGC